GCUCACCAACCCAAACUUAUAAUAUCCAAUUUUAGGCUUGGAUGGGCCUAAUCUCUAAAUUUUUUUUCUCCAAAAAAAUUUAUAAAGAAAAUAAAAUACAAGAAUAUGAAUUUCAGCACAAAUGAAAAAUAGAAAAGAUGAACUCUUUUAAGUCCGAAGAAGUUGCUGAUGAAUUGCACAAAAGAUGCUUCAACUUCUUUUGAAUGAUGCUUGAGAGGAUGUGGAAGAUAA
rnacentral:lncRNA from 1 species